AGUGAACGCUGGCGGUAGGCCUAACACAUGCAAGUCGAACGGCAGCACAGUAAGAGCUUGCUCUUACGGGUGGCGAGUGGCGGACGGGUGAGGAAUACAUCGGAAUCUACUUUUUCGUGGGGGAUAACGUAGGGAAACUUACGCUAGUACCGCAUACGACCUACGGGUGAAAGCAGGGGAUCUUCGGACCUUGCGCGAUUGAAUGAGCCGAUGUCGGAUUAGCUAGUUGGCGGGGUAAAGGCCCACCAAGGCGACGAUCCGUAGCUGGUCUGAGAGGAUGAUCAGCCACACUGGAACUGAGACACGGUCCAGACUCCUACGGGAGGCAGCAGUGGGGAAUAUUGGACAAUGGGCGAAAGCCUGAUCCAGCCAUACCGCGUGGGUGAAGAAGGCCUUCGGGUUGUAAAGCCCUUUUGUUGGGAAAGAAAAGCAGCAGGUUAAUACCCCGCUGUUCUGACGGUACCCAAAGAAUAAGCACCGGCUAACUUCGUG
rnacentral:rRNA from 1 species